GAGGAAAUCUAGCACACCUGUCUGUAAACCUGUCCACACGCUGCACUGUCUGAGAAGCAGCGCAGCCACAUCGUAGACUGUAGUGUGGAGAGGUUAUAUUGGUUCGAUUGAAGAUAGCGCGCUCGGAAAGCAGAUGGAGUUUUCACGGUGUCAACAAAAGAACAAAAAAUGACUGAAAAUAAAGUUAAAGAACACCCGUCGAAGCCCUCUGCGUGUCGCAUCAUUCCGAGCGGUCAGCUACAGUGAAAACUCCUCGGCGGCGACCAGCGCAUGUUUCCCGGCUGCAACGGAUUGCCAUUUCGGUGGAGGCCCGGACGCCCUCGUACCUUAAAUUCAUCG